AGCAGUAGCCGCGGUAAUACAGAGGGUGCGAGCGUUAAUCGGAUUUACUGGGCGUAAAGCGUGCGUAGGCGGCUUCUUAAGUCGGAUGUGAAAUCCCUGAGCUUAACUUAGGAAUUGCAUUCGAUACUGGGAAGCUAGAGUAUGGGAGAGGAUGGUAGAAUUCCAGGUGUAGCGGUGAAAUGCGUAGAGAUCUGGAGGAAUACCGAUGGCGAAGGCAGCCAUCUGGCCUAAUACUGACGCUGAGGUACGAAAGCAUGGGGAGCAAACAGGAUUAGAUACCCCCGUAGUCCCUGUCUCUUAUAA
rnacentral:rRNA from 1 species